GAAGACUUAGAACCAGAUACGUCAUAUUCUAUCAAGGCUGGUGCUGUGAAUCACGUGGGUGAAGGAUUACCCAGUAAUGUGAUUGAAGUGAAAACACACUCUGUUCCCUUUUCGUACUAGUUCAAAACAUAGGUCUUGCCAACCUCAGCAAUAAUUUACAUAGCGUAUAUAUAACAACAUUCUCUAUAGUGGCUCUUUAAUCAGCAACAAUUUGUUUCAUUAUCUGAAACAAACUCAUAAAUACAUUGGUGGUUUCUUUGGUAUAUCUUCUGAUACCCACUAUGACCAAUAGAGCUACCGAGGAUGACAACAGAUUAGGGUUGCUCUAGUCAGGAUAAGGGUUUUUGACAUCCGCGAAGCAAGCAGCCAAACAUAGAAGAAUCCUGACUGCAGUGUUUUCUAGACCUAACCUCAAGUUCAUUCAGUAACACAAUAAUCUCAAUUUUUGAGAAGUUGGCCAUGAAAUGAAGAUGAAAUUCUUAACCAGUGUUGCAGUAUUAUGUUAAUCAUUCCUUUGCUUUUUGUUUCUUCUUAUUUCAGGUUUUACAAUGGUCCAGCUCCUUUCGACAUUCUACUUUCGCUUUCCGACACGUUUCGUUUAUUUUUCGGAUCGGACUCGGCCAUAUUUCGUAGUGUCUUCGUUCGAAAAGCUUACUUUCGUUUCGAUCUCAAACAAUAUAUUUUUCUCAAUGAAUUGAAUGAUUCGCCUAGUUGAGAGAAAAAAGGAAAAUUAACGAAAAUGUGUUAUUUUAAAGUCAAAUGGUUUGCGAUUUCCCCAAAAAUUUAACGGAAGGGGGGAAGGGUCGUAGGGAGUUAAUGUGAAGGAAAACCAAAAGAAAAACCGGGAAGGGAACUGGCAUAGAAGGAAAAUGGAAGGGAAUAGAUGUCAGGGGAAAAAAAAAGUGAAUUAUAGCGCAAUAUUUUUUUAUCCGUCUAUUAAUUAAUUAUUCAUAUUU